UGGGGAAUUUUGGACAAUGGGCGCAAGCCUGAUCCAGCCAUGCCGCGUGCGGGAAGAAGGCCUUCGGGUUGUAAACCGCUUUGUCAGGGAAGAAAUCUUCUGAGUUAAUACCUCGGGAGGAUGACGGUACCUGAAGAAUAAGCACCGGCUAACUACGUGCCAGCAGCCGCGGUAAUACGUAGGGUGCAAGCGUUAAUCGGAAUUACUGGGCGUAAAGCGUGCGCAGGCGGUUUUGUAAGACAGAGGUGAAAUCCCCGGGCUCAACCCUGGGGAACUGCCUUUGUGACUGCAAGGCUUGAGUGCGGCAGAGGGGGGAUGGAAUUCCGCGUGUAGCAGUGAAAUGCGUAGAUAUGCGGAGGAACACCGAUGGCGAAGGCAAUCCCCUGGGCCUGCACUGACGCUCAUGCACGAAAGCGUGGGGAGCAAACAGGAUUAGAUAGCCCUGGUAGUCCACGCCCUAAACGAUGUCAACUGGUUGUUGGGAAGGUUCCUUCUCAGUAACGUAGCUAACGCGUGAAGUUGACCGCCUGGGGAGU
rnacentral:rRNA from 1 species